AUAAGUCUUCAGGGCAGGGCGUAAUUCCCUACCGGUGGUAAAUUCAUUGUAAUUCAAUGGAAAGCCCACGAGCGCUUAAGUAGGUUAAACUAUUUAAGGACAAGCAGAUUCGGUGUAAAUCCGAAGCCGACGGUAUAGUCCGGAUGGGAGAAGGCAGUA
rnacentral:ncRNA from 2 species